AACGAACGCUGGCGGCAGGCCUAACACAUGCAAGUCGAGCGAGGACUUCGGUCCUAGCGGCGGACGGGUGAGUAACGCGUGGGAACGUGCCCUUUGCUACGGAAUAGCCCCGGGAAACUGGGAGUAAUACCGUAUGUGCCCUUCGGGGGAAAGAUUUAUCGGCAAAGGAUCGGCCCGCGUUGGAUUAGGUAGUUGGUGGGGUAAUGGCCUACCAAGCCGACGAUCCAUAGCUGGUUUGAGAGGAUGAUCAGCCACACUGGGACUGAGACACGGCCCAGACUCCUACGGGAGGCAGCAGUGGGGAAUCUUAGACAAUGGGGGAAACCCUGAUCUAGCCAUGCCGCGUGAGCGAUGAAGGCCUUAGGGUUGUAAAGAUCUUUCAGGUGGGAAGAUAAUGACUGUACCACCAGAAGAAGCCCCGGCUAACUCCGUGCCAGCCGCCGCCGUAACAC
rnacentral:rRNA from 1 species